AAGCUGCGUUUAAUAAACGCAGCUUAACAUUUUUAGAGCUGCGUUUGGGUAAACGCAGCUCCAGAUAUGUUCAAGCUGCGUUUUAGCAAACGCAGCUCUAGGCUUGCUAUAAAUUGGAAAAAACCCUAAAUUGAAAAACACAAUUGAACCCAUUUCAACCUGGCUCACUCUCAACCUAGCUCCUGAUCCCUAAUCUCGCUGUCGUGCUCUCAACCUCACGCCUCCCUCAUCAAUCGAAACAAAAAUAGGUCUGAAAUCACUGCCUGAUGAGAUGCGCGAUCUCUCGUCUUUACAAAUACUGGAGAUUAGGCGUUGUCCCGAGUUACAGAGAAGAUGCGAAAAGGAAAUCGGUCAGGAUUGGGACAAGAUCGCACAUAUCACUGAGGUUUAUAUAGUGGGUGAACCUAUGGAGUGGCAAUAUGCCCCGCCUGAAUACUUUUAGGAUUUUGGAUGGUGAAGUACGAAAGGAUGUCGUGAAGAUGUUGUACAAGAAGGCCUUACUAAGCUUUUGGCUGCCCAUUUUGUUGAACGCUGCCCAGACCCUGAACCACUUGUUCCUGAACCAGUUAAAGUAGAAACAACUUCCAAGAAACGAGGUGCUAAAUCUACUAAGGUAAUUGUUGACUCCUGUCAAAUUUACUUGGUGGUGAUUUUAUGUUUUACAGAGAUGGGUGACAGUUGAUUAUUCUUGCAUUGCAUGCACAUAUGCAUAUUCUAUCUUUAGAUCAACAGAGCACAUGCUACUGGGAUCUGAGUUGCAGUUAUACUCUGUGUGGACUGUGGAGUGAUAUUGGUAUUGCUAUGUGUAGAUAAAAAGAUUUUGAUUAAACUUAUUGCCCAUUUAAAAAAAGUCAAACCGUGUAAGUCUAAUAUAUUUUGCCUAUUGGCUAAAAUAGAUAGUGCAAUUGCACAAAGUUCAUAAGUUCAAAUUUUACAAAAGUUCUUUCAAUUUCUUCAAAUUUUUAUAUAGUAAAUUUGAAAAACACUUAUCAAUGGACAAUAUGAUAAUAAUCUAGUCAUAGAAAGUCUAAACGUAAUAUUAUAUAUAUAUAUAUAUAUAUAUUUUUUUUUUUUUCUUCUUUUUUUGAAAAACAUUUUAUAUAAUUUUCUUAUGCUUUUAAAAAUCAUAUCUAUGAUAACUAUGAUCAAACGAGGAAUGGGUAGACUAUUGAAUCUAUUGAUCACUUACUUCUACAUUGUCCAGUAGCUCAAGAGUUGUGGAAUAUGGUGUGUUCCCUGUUUGGUGUUCAUUGUGUCAUGCCUUGUAGUGUUGUGAAACUUAUAGCAAGUUGGUUGGGCAAGUUUAAUGGACUCAAAACUAAGAUGCUUUGGAGUAUGAUUUAUCAUUGUCUUAUGUGGGUCAUAUGGAGGUAAGAACGUACUUUUGAAGGGGAUUAAAGGUCAGUUCAUGAGUUGAAACUUGUCUUCUUUUAGACUUUGUUUGAAUGAGCAAAUGCUUCAGGUGUUGUUACUUUCACGUCUCUGCCUGGCAUGCUUGAUUUUUGUACUUCCAUUGCUGUUUAGUUUCCUUUUUUUUGUUGCCUUUUAGCACACUUCCUUUGUUUUUAUCCUUUUGUCCUUAUUUUAAUUUCAAUGAAGUUUAUUACUUAUCGAUAAAAAAGGAAGUAUACGGCUGAAACAAAAUAUUUCCAAAAUGCAAAGACUAGAGAGUCCAGAAUAGCAAAUUGUCAUGGUUCAUGUCCUUUGACAGGUAAUUUAUAUAGAUAGAUAGAUAGAUAGUGUAAUAUUGCACACUAAGAAUAUUGUUUUUGUAAUAAAUCAAUGGUCCAUGUCAUUUGCUUCAAGAUUGAGCAAUUAAUUUUAAUGAAUUUUAUUUUCUAAAAAAAAAAAGAAGCUUUUCUAAAAGCACCUAAAAAGUGUGCUUAA